AUUUAAUGUAAUUCCUACAAUGUUAAUGCAUUAGAUCCCAUUAGAACUCUACAGUUAAAUGCAUUUGGGCUAGAGUAAUACCAGGAUGGGUAACCUCCCAGGAAGUCCUAGUGUCUUACAUA
rnacentral:rRNA from 1 species